AUAGAUAAACAGCUGCCUUCUGACUGGACAGACUAUUUACGCAACGAUACUAAUAAGGAAGAUCUAUUUCGAUUUUUGAGUCGUACACUUCUUAUCAAAUUUAAAGACAUUCAGCUUGUGACGAAUGUUGACUCCACAAUUGUGGCAUCACAUUCCGACUUGACAACUCUCAACGGAGUUUCUUGCUUGAAUAUGGAAGAGGCUGACGGAAGAAUAGUGUUACACUUGUAAGAGAGUCCAUUCCAUUAUCAAAAAAGUUUCACAAUAAAAUAUAAGCUAAAAAGUAUCUUUUUUUCCAAAGCUGAGUCAGAAAGGUUUAAAGCAUCUGUGGCUGCAAUAUGGAGUAGGAUCUAAACAACGCUAUAUUAGUGUUCACCAAAUUUCGCAGACUCUUGGAGACGACAAAUCUGAGGCACUGCGAGGUUUCCACGCUUUUUCGGGUAGAGAUUUCACGUCCUUUUUUUGUGGCAAGGGCAAUCGUUCUGCAUGGGCAGCAUGGGACGAAUCUUUCACUACUGCCUUUAAGGAGAUUUCCAACACACAAACCCAAAUUAGUCCGAUCGUAUAUGCGGACUUUACCAUAAAACUGUAUGGCGUAUGCACAUCGGAAUCAAAUGAGGAUUCACGUCCAGGUAUAAAUGAGGUGAGAAAGCAGAUGUUUGCUUCAGACGGUAAACACCUAGCUUCAAUUCCUCCAACACGCGCUGCAUUGGAGGAGCUCAUAAAGAGAGCAGCGUAUGUCGCUGGUCACAUCUGGGGCUGUGCAAAUCUUGUGAAGGAAAAUUGCACAAGUCCUGAAGGAUGGGGAUGGACUCUUGAUCUUGAGGUCAAUCAUUGGAAGGUUUUGUGGUCAAGUUGCCACAGGUUUGGAAGGCAGUGCGUGCUUUAGAUAGAUGUGGCUGCGUGACAGGCUGCGAGACACUUCGGUGCAGCUGCUGGCGACUGGGACUGCCGUGUUCCCCUGCAUGCCAAAAAUGUAUGGGGGAUUGCUUAAAUAAAGGGUAAAUUUAUUGAAUAUUUCCGAUACAAUCUGCUACCGAACCUCCUAUAUUUAUUUUUAUGUGCAAUUUGUUUUAGUGGGAAUAACGCCGAAAAAGACAGGGACGUACUUGGCGAUAGUUCAUAGUUUAGUAGUUUAUAAUUUAGAUACUUCAUAUUUCUGUACCUACAUUUUUAUACCGUCCCUUAUAUUUAGUUUUUAUAUUAAACCUUAUAUUUUUGGUUUAUUUGUUGCUGUUGUAUAUUUUUAUUUGUUAAUGUGUAUUUUUACGUUGUUUUUAUGGGAUAAAAAUACAUAAAUAUAUAUAAUAAUAUAUUAUUACA